rfam:Brassica napus, WGS project CCCW01000000 data, contig: 15000
GAGAAGUAGCUCUAAAGCUCAGGAGGGAUAGCGCCAUAACUCAGUCAAUUAGUAUACAUACGUUUGUAUAUAAAUGGCGCCAUCCAUCCUGAGUUCCAUGGCUUCUUCUU